AACGAACGCUGGCGGCAGGCUUAACACAUGCAAGUCGAGCGCCCCGCACGGGGAGCGGCAGACGGGUGAGUAACGCGUGGGAAUCUACCCAUCACUACGGAACAACUCCGGGAAACUGGAGCUAAUACCGUACACGUCCUUCGGGAGAAAGAUUUAUCGGUGAUGGAUGAGCCCGCGUUGGAUUAGCUAGUGGGUGGGGUAAUGGCCCAACUAGGCGACGAGCCAUAGCUGGGCUGAGAGGAUGAUCAGCCACACUGGGACUGAGAAACGGCCCAGACUCCUACGGGAGGCAGCAGUGGGGAAUAUUGGACAAUGGGCGCAAGCCUGAUCCAGCCAUGCCGCGUGAGUGAUGAAGGCCCUAGGGUUGUAAAGCUCUUUCACCGGUGAAGAUAAUGACAGUAACCGGAGAAGAAGCCCCGGCUAACUUCGUGCCAGCAGCCGCGGUAA
rnacentral:rRNA from 1 species